rnacentral:lncRNA from 1 species
UCAAGACGGAUGACAAGAUGAGGUUGGUUUUGCUUUUGCUCAGCGAAGUAACUAACUAACUGGGUUUUGUUCACUAUUCCCAACCCAUGACAGUUCCCUGCAGCUGUCGAUUAACUGGGUUUGACGUUCAGAUUCGUCUUAGUUCGGCUCGGAUUUGGCUAGAUUCUAGUCGAUCGGUGUCGGUCGCGGCUGAGUUUAAAGAUGGACGAGGUUGUGCUAACAGUGGCAUGGUCGUUGGACUGUCGCCGGUGGGUUAAUGGGUUCAAGACGGAUGACGACGGGAUGAGGCUGGUUUUGCUUUUUGCUCGGUUGCUUGCUCUAUCGUUUGUUGUUUAUAUGGUUGGCUGUAAGCCUGUGACUGACAGACUUGAGUCAGACGAACUUGUGAAAUAAGUUUAGUUGUUUGCUUGUUUUCGCAUUUAGUUUUUUUUUUUUAAACAGUGCAGAUCCGAUCGGAUGAUUCGGAUUGAUCCGAAUCCGAUCCGAUUGGAAACAAAUCCGAUCGGAUCGCACAUAUUUCAUCCAAUCGGAUUUGCCUUCAAAUCCGAUUUGGGAACAUACAAUAGUGGCUAUAACAAUUAGGCCUGUAAUUAAACUAGCCUAAUUAUUUAAUUCUAAAUCUACUCCACUAAAAGAUUGGAACUGACUUCCAUAAUUGUAUGCUUGAAUAAUAAUUCGUCCCAAGCCACAUUGAUUUCUUUACUGCAUAAUCCUUUGUACCACAUCGUUAAUUAAAUUGAUAUCUCAACUGUCCAAUCAAUUUAAUAACAUCUUAUUCCUUGAUCCUUAUUGGUUUUCUCUAAUGAUCAUUUUCAACAUACUAAAUAUGUUGACAUACUCUGGCCAGAGAAUUCUAUGAUCAAGUGCCGAAAACCUAUCAAGAGAUGUGUUGUACAAAUUCUAUAUUGUUAAUCCAUAACUCCAUUACUCAUAAUUGCUCCCACCAAGAUACCGGGUAAUCUUGCCACAAUUGUGUGUGGUGCCCAUUGGUAACUCAAAUGGAAUAACAAUUACAGUCAUGAAAUCAUAAUUAACUCAAGAUUAAGAUUACAGUAAAAUAAAUGCCUAUGAGAUUUAAUAAGUUUGACAGUUAUUACAAAGUUAAUUAAAUCUCAUAUGUGAUCCUGUUUAAUGUAGUCGUACUACAUCAAUAAAUUCAUACAUGAUUAAGACAAAUCAUUCAAUGAAUUUAUUACAGUCUAUACCUAAAUAAAGUGCCCAACUUUAUUUAUCAACUGUGAACUAAAUUUAUUUAAUCAUAAGAUAACUUGUAUUUAUGUCUUCUGUGAAUCCACAUGGUGAUCACAUAAAUACAUAUAAUAUGAUUAAAUGGACUUUAAUACAAAUAUAAAUGCAAUUAAGAUAUUUGAAUAAAAUACCUCAUUUAUUUUAUUAAUCAGAAAAAUUGUUUAUUACAAUUAAAUAAAUACAUAUGCUUUUAAAGAGCAUAUUAUCCCAACAGGUUUGACGUUCAUAUUCGUCUUGGUUCGGCUCGGAUUUGGCUAGAUUCCAGUCGAUCGGUGUCGGCCGCGGCUGAGUUUGAAGACGGAUGAGGCUGUGCUGAUAGUG